rnacentral:rRNA from 1 species
UACGUAGGGUGCAAGCGUUAAUCGGAAUUACUGGGCGUAAAGCGUGCGCAGGCGGUGAUGUAAGACAGAUGUGAAGUCCCCGGGCUCAACCUGGGAACUGCAUUUGUGACUGCAUCGCUGGAGUGCGGCAGAGGGGGAUGGAAUUCCGCGUGUAGCAGUGAAAUGCGUAGAUAUGCGGAGGAACACCGAUGGCGAAGGCAAUCCCCUGGGCCUGCACUGACGCUCAGGCACGAAAGCGUGGGGAGCAAACAGG